rnacentral:tRNA from 3 species
GGCAAGAUGGCCGAGUAUGGUUAUGGCGCCAGGUUAAGGUCCUGGUGGAGCAAUCCUCCUGGGUUCAAAUCCCAGUCUUGUCA